rnacentral:rRNA from 1 species
UACGUAGGGGGCUAGCGUUAUCCGGAAUUACUGGGCGUAAAGGGUGCGUAGGUGGUUUCUUAAGUCAGAGGUGAAAGGCUACGGCUCAACCGUAGUAAGCCUUUGAAACUGGGAAACUUGAGUGCAGGAGAGGAGAGUGGAAUUCCUAGUGUAGCGGUGAAAUGCGUAGAUAUUAGGAGGAACACCAGUUGCGAAGGCGGCUCUCUGGACUGUAACUGACACUGAGGCACGAAAGCGUGGGGAGCAAACAGGAUUAGAUACCCGUGUAGUCCCUGA